GGGGCUGUGGCUCAAUGGUGGAGUGCUUGCCUAGCAUGUGUGAGGCACUGGGUUUGAUUCUCAGCACCUCA
rnacentral:tRNA from 1 species